UAAGCAAUUAUACAGCGAAACUGCGAAUGGCUCAUUAUAUAAGUUAUCGUUUAUUUGAUAGUACUUUACUACUUGGAUAACCGUGGUAAUUCUAGAGCUAAUACAUGCUAAAAAUCCCGACUUCGGAAGGGAUGUAUUUAUUAGAUUAAAAACCAAUGCCCUUUGGGCUCCUUGGUGAAUCAUGAUAACUUCUCGAAUCGCAUGGCCUUGCGCCGGCGAUGGUUCAUUCAAAUUUCUUCCCUAUCAACUUUCGAUGUUUGGGUAUUGGCCAAACAUGGUCGCAACGGGUAACGGAGGGUUAGGGCUCGACCCCGGAGAAGGAGCCUGAGAAACGGCUACUACAUCCAAGGAAGGCAGCAGGCGCGCAAAUUACCCAAUCCCGACUCGGGGAGGUAGUGACAAUAAAUACUGAUACGAGGCUCUUUUGGGCCUUGUAAUUGGAAUGAGUACAAUUUAAAUCUCUUAACGAGGAACAAUUGGAGGGCAAGUCUGGUGCCAGCAGCCGCGGUAAUUCCAGCUCCAAUAGCGUAUAUUAAAGUUGUUGUGGUUAAAAAGCUCGUAGUUGAACCUUGGGCCUGGCUGGCCGGUCCGCCUCACCGCGUGUACUGGUCCGGCCGGGCCUUUCCCUCUGUGGAACCUCAUGCCCUUCACUGGGUGUGACGGGGAAGCAGGACUUUUACUGUGAAAAAAUUAGAGUGCUCCAAGCAGGCCUAUGCUCGAAUACAUUAGCAUGGAAUAAUGAAAUAGGACGUGCGGUUCUAUUUUGUUGGUUUCUAGGACCGCCGUAAUGAUUAAUAGGGACAGUCGGGGGCAUCAGUAUUCAAUUGUCAGAGGUGAAAUUCUUGGAUUUAUUGAAGACUAACUACUGCGAAAGCAUUUGCCAAGGAUGUUUUCAUUAAUCAGGAACGAAAGUUAGGGGAUCGAAGACGAUCAGAUACCGUCGUAGUCUUAACCAUAAACUAUGCCGACUAGGGAUCGGACGAUGUUAUUUUUUGACUCGUUCGGCACCUUACGAGAAAUCAAAGUGUUUGGGCUCCAGGGG
rnacentral:rRNA from 1 species